AUUGAACGCUGGCGGCGUGCCUAACACAUGCAAGUCGAGCGGUAACAGGUGUAGCAAUACAUGCUGACGAGCGGCGAACGGGUGAGUAAUGCAUUGGAAUCUUCCUAGUAGUGGGGAAUAACCAGUCGAAAGAUUGGCUAAUACCGCAUACGUCCGAGAGGGGAAAGCGGGGGCUCGUAAGACCUCGCGCUAUUAGAUGAGCCAAUGUCGGAUUAGCUUGUUGGUGAGGUAACGGCUCACCAAGGCGACAAUCCGUAGCUGGUCUGAGAG
rnacentral:rRNA from 1 species